GGCCCCCUCUCUCCGAACGUCCACCACUCGACCAAGAACCUGUGUGUUGUUUUAUUGUAGUGCAGUGUAGAGUUUUCGCGUGUAUAUCUGGCGUUGUUAUGUCCAUUUUUGUAAGUAGUUGUAAAUAGGUUGUCAAGUCGCGAUCACGCUUUGUUCACCUGAUGUAUAUCCUUCACUGCCGCAGCCUAGUAGGCGUGAGAAGCCAUUUUUGUUGAACAAGUUUUCUCCUGUUUUUUCAUUAGAAAGCUAGGUAAGUGACUUGUCUUUUGUUUGGCUUCUUUUUCAUUUGGUGUAGGGAAGCGUAGGGACCACUAGGGAGUUUUGUUUGUUGUUUUUGGCAUUGCUCACUGCCGACGAAAAUAAAUGGCUGCUUAACACUUUAAAAGGUAUCGUUGUUGGUGUUCUUGCUUGGGUGGGGAAUGAGUGGGCAAACUUCUUGUUGCGUUUAUUUACUCGCCUGGACUAAAAAUGUAACAUAAGUCAUUCUUUUAUGAACAAAACUCAAGACACAGCCUAAUAAAUCUUUCAGUCAUUUCUACCCCCCCAUCCCACAUGCAUACUACCCUUUAGGGCCCUGGGUGUAUAACAUGUCUGGCUCUGCCUCUGGAGUCAACAGUAUCCAUGACACACAACGUAACGUUCGAUAAUGUGUCAUAUGCAAAAGCAUCAGGUCUAAGAGCCGUGCUUACAGAGUGCUUUGUAGUCAAUCAGAAGAGUCGACUCCCAUUGAGCGAGAGCCGCUCCUCACUUAAUUUCCUUUCGCUGCCCAGCUCUCACACACUGGCUCAGCUAUGCUCGAAUACCUCCAUAUUGUGGCCAAUCACAUGCGUGGAUAUAGGAUAAUAUCAUUAUGUGAAAAACAGAGGGUGAGAGACGCGACAGUCAAGUGGAGCGUGCAUCUGUCCUCUCAGUGAGUGAGACAGUGGACAGCGGCAGUCUUGACCACAAGUCUACAUGGAGCUGAAAUAUGAUCCUGCUUCCUCAUUUGGACUCAUUCACCUCAGCUGACACGUUCAACAGUAGACAGGUUUUUGUAGCAGUCUGUCUCACUGUGGGAGGAAACGGCUACCUAUUCUUUGUCUCUGGAACUAAACUCUAUGUAACAGAUGAGCAGGUAGUGAAGCCCGUGGUGAGCGUGUACCCAGCAGCAUCCAGAGCCCACCUGGAGGGGAACAGCUCCCUGCUGUGUGUGGCCUCAGCCAUGUUUCCUCCUCUGGUCCAGUUCUCCUGGAAAAGACAGAAGAAGAACGGCGGAGAAGCGGAGGAGCUGCCCCCUGCUGAGGGAGAGCAGCUGGAGCUCAGAGAGGCGGGACGCACCAUUGCCAUCAGGAUGCUUGAUGGGAGCCAUUCUGACACAUAUAAAUACAGCUGCUGGGUGAAGCACGAGGGGGGCACAGUGGAGGCCCGAACACAACAAGAGCUUCCAGCUCCAGCAGCCUCCUGUCCUCCAGAGAGAGAGCCAGCAGACCUGCCAGCUCUGCAGCCAGCUGACUUGUCCUUCCAGUCUCAGUGCAGGGUGAAGCUGCUCUGCCUGCUAUACACAGUGCUGAUAGUGAAGAGUCUGGUGUACUGCUGUGGACUCUCUCUGCUGAUGAUGCUCACAAACAAGGGAGCGUCCACCAACUGCACACAUGCUGACUGACUGUUUCCUGCUCGCCUUUUCUCACCAUCACAUCUCAUCAAUUCAUCUCAUUCAUCACUUUGAUCACAAAUGUUAGUUAUGAUGUGUUGAGCUUAUUUUGCCUUUUUCUUCAACAGUUAGAAGAUCGUCUGAAAUAAAUACAUCUUUACAUGUAUUGUUGCUCUGAGUUAGAAUUCUUUUUGUGCUUAUUGUGACUUUUAUUGUAGUAACAAAAACCAUCAGGAAUAUUUUUAUCACAAGUUUUUGUUUGAUUUUCAAAUGUCAAACAGUGUAGUUGUGUUUGUGUGAACAAUAAAGAUUUGAAGAUGAAGAG
ensembl:lncRNA